UACGGGGGGGGCAAGCGUUGUUCGGAAUUACUGGGCGUAAAGGGCUCGUAGGCGGCCAACUAAGUCGGAUGUGAAAUCCCCAGGCUUAACCUGGGAACUGCAUCCGAUACUGGAUGGCUUGAAUUCGGGAGAGGGAUGCAGAAUUCCAGGUGUAGCGGUGAAAUGCGUAGAUAUCUGGAGGAACACCGGUGGCGAAGGCGGCAUCCUGGACCGGCACUGACGCUGAGGAGCGAAAGCCAGGGGAGCAAACGGG
rnacentral:rRNA from 1 species